GACGAACGCUGGCGGCGUGCUUAACACAUGCAAGUCGAACGGAAAGGCCCUGCUUUUGUGGGGUGCUCGAGUGGCGAACGGGUGAGUAACACGUGAGUAACCUGCCCUUGACUUUGGGAUAACUUCAGGAAACUGGGGCUAAUACCGGAUAGGAGCUCCUGCUGCAUGGUGGGGGUUGGAAAGUUUCGGCGGUUGGGGCUGGUCUGGCGGCUUAUCAGCUUGUUGGUGGGGUAGUGGCUUACCAAGGCUUUGACGGGUAGCCGGCCUGAGAGGGUGGCCGGCCACAAUGGGACUGAGGUACGGCCCAGACUCCAACGGGCGGCAGCAGUGGGGAACAUUGCGCAGUGGGCGGGAGCCUGAUGCAGCAACGCCGCGUGCGGGAUGACGGCCUUCGGGUUGUAAACCGCUUUCGCCUGUGACGAAGCGUGAGUGACGGUAAUGGGUAAAGAAGCACCGGCUAACUACGUG
rnacentral:rRNA from 1 species